GUUGUACUCCCUCCAUCCCAAAAUUCUUGUCUUAGAUUUGUCUAGAUACGGAUGUAUCUAAUACUAAAACGUGACUUGAUACAUCCGUAUUUAGACAAAUCUAAGACAAGAAUUUUGGGAUGGAGGGAGUAUUUU
rnacentral:pre_miRNA from 1 species